CCUACGGGAGGCAGCAGUGAGGAAUAUUGGUCAAUGGGAGAGAUCCUGAACCAGCCAAGCCGCGUGAGGGAAGACGGCCCUAUGGGUUGUAAACCUCUUUUGUCGGAGAACAAACCCCGGGACGUGUCCCGUACUGCGUGUAUCCGACGAAAAAGCAUCGGCUAACUCCGUGCCAGCAGCCGCGGUAAUACGGAGGAUGCGAGCGUUAUCCGGAUUUAUUGGGUUUAAAGGGUGCGUAGGCGGUCCGUUAAGUCAGCGGUAAAAUUGCGGGGCUCAACCCUGUCGAGCCGUUGAAACUGGCAGACUUGAGUUGGCGAGAAGUACGCGGAAUGCGCGGUGUAGCGGUGAAAUGCAUAGAUAUCGCGCAGAACUCCGAUUGCGAAGGCAGCGUACCGGAGCCAGACUGACGCUGAGGCACGAAAGCGUGGGGAUCGAACAGGAUUAGAUACCCUUGUAGUC
rnacentral:rRNA from 1 species